AGACAAGAAAAUGGGUCAAGCUCAGAGCGAGGUGGCCUCAACCCCAGAGCCAGAGGUAGAUCAAACUCAGAGCCAGCUUUCAUCGUCCGUUACACCACAUAAUUCUCGGCCAGAUACUCCAAUGGAAUCUCUUAUUGCAGAAGCUGUAGCAUAUGGAAACAAUGAGAAUGAGUCUCUUGAUGCAAAAGCUCAGAGAGCACUAGAAUGCCCGUGCAUAGCUGACUUGCGCAAUGGCCCAUGUGGGAUUCAGUUUUCAGAUGCCUUCCUUUGCUUUCUCAAAAGUACUGCCGAGGAAAAGGGUUCAGACUGCGUGCAUCCUUUUGUGGCUUUGCAGAAUUGUAUCAAAGCUAAGCCUGAUGCAUUUUCCAAGGACAUUUUAGAAGAGGAAGUGAAGAAAGAAGAAAAGCCAGCCCAAGAAUACAGAAUAAUCCCUCCCAAAUGGUCACGGGAAUCUCCAAGCCCCAAACUUUAGAAAUCAUGGUGGGAAGUUCUGAUGCUAGCCAUUGCUAGCUACAAAUUUUUCCAUGUCGGAAUUGCAGUUCUGUAUGCAGUUUAGAUGAAUAAUCUUGACCUCUAAUUUUUGAAGUAUAGAAUGAAUGUUUGUGGAAGUGAAAGAGCGAAGACGAUAAAAUUUGGACUGUUGAACACAAAUCAAAGGGAAAUGCUGAAGAAUAGUUUUGGGUAUUCUAAAAUUCUUGUUUUUUAACCAGGAAUAAUGUCAGCAAAUUAUU
rnacentral:misc_RNA from 1 species